rnacentral:rRNA from 1 species
GACGAACGCUGGCGGCGUGCUUAACACAUGCAAGUCGAACGCUGAAGCCCUUUCGGGGGUGGAUGAGUGGCGGACGGGUGAGUAACACGUGGGUAAUCUGCCCUGUACUUCGGGAUAAGCCUUGGAAACGGGGUCUAAUACCGGAUAGGACCUGUCCUCGCAUGGGGGUGGGUGGAAAGUUCCGGCGGUAUGGGAUGAGCCCGCGGCCUAUCAGCUUGUUGGUGGGGUAGUGGCCUACCAAGGCGACGACGGGUAGCCGGCCUGAGAGGGUGACCGGUCACACUGGGACUGAGACACGGCCCAGACUCCUACGGGAGGCAGCAGUGGGGAAUCUUGCGCAAUGGGCGAAAUCCUGACGCAGCAACGCCGCGUGGGGGAUGACGGCCUUCGGGUUGUAAACCUCUUUCGACAUCGACGAAGGGGCCCUGUUGUGGGGUUUUGACGGUAGGUGUAGAAGAAGCACCGGCUAACUACGUGCCAGCAGCCGCAGUAA